GAUGAACGCUAGCGGCAGGCCUAACACAUGCAAGUCGAGGGAGGAGCCUUCGGGCUUCGACCGGCGUACGGGUGCGUAACGCGUAUACAAUCUGCCUUUCACUUAGGGAUAGCCCGAAGAAAUUUGGAUUAAUACCUAAUGGUAUAUAGAUGUGGCAUCACCUUUAUAUUAAAGCUGAGGCGGUGAAAGAUGAGUAUGCGUUCUAUUAGCUAGUUGGAGAGGUAACGGCUCCCCAAGGCGACGAUAGAUAGGGGUUCUGAGAGGGAUAUCCCCCACACUGGUACUGAGAUACGGACCAGACUCCUACGGGAGGCAGCAGUGAGGAAUAUUGGACAAUGGUCGGAAGACUGAUCCAGCCAUGCCGCGUGCAGGAAGACGGCCUUAUGGGUUGUAAACUGCUUUUGCAGGGGAAGAAUAAGGACUACGCGUAGUUUGAUGACGGUACUCUGCGAAUAAGCAUCGGCUAACUCCGUG
rnacentral:rRNA from 1 species